GGCGCUCGGGGACGGCGGGCGGCGCGGGGGGGAGCGCGGCGCGGCCGGGAGCCUCCUGCCUGUGUCCUGCGCAUUCGGUGCGUCCUCUGUCGCCGACCCAGGGCCCUUCGUGUUUGGGACUCCAGCCUCCCUUAAACCCUGGAAGACGGCGCUAGACUAAAUACCAUCCACGAUCCUGAGGACUGGCAGUGUAGUGACCAAGGACUGGAAGAUGGUUUUCUCCAUCGUGAGCCGGUCUGCCCGAGCUUCCUGAUCGGCCUUUCCCUCCGAAAAGAAACCACGGAACUAGGAGGAGGGAGAUGCCUUUGAAUUGGCACUUUACGUUGGGAUCCGCUUAUUCGGGCAAUUUACACACCACCGCUGUUGAAAACUAAUUUUUGGGGCUGGAGAAGUAGUUCAGUGGUUAGGAGUGCUUGUCUAGUAUGAAGAAAGCCUUGAGGUUCCAUUCGCCAGCACCUCACAAAGACUAGUGUGAUGGCACAGGCUUGUAAUGCUAGCAUUCAGUAGGUAGAGACAAGAGGAUCAAAAUGUCAAGGUCAUUUUAGGUACGCAACCAAUUUUGAGGCUCGCUUGGAAUGCAUGAGAGCUCGUUGAAAUACGGAAAGGGAAGUAAAGGAAAGAUGAACAAGGAGACCAGAGAACAAUGAAAAUGGAUGGCCCAGUUGAUCCAACAUCUCAGAGUACCUCUGUUGCAGUUUUCUCAGAGUUCUGCAUUCAGAACAGCUUCAAGGUUGCUGGCUGAGAAGAUCCAGCCUCACAGACUACUCCAGCCAAGACUUAACCAUUAUUCUAAUUCUUCUCAAGGUCCCCCAAAGAUGCCAGUGCCAGAAGACAACAGGAAUUUCUAGAGAAAUAAUGCCCACAUUCCCAAAGAUGGGUUAUGGAUAUUUGUCAUCAUUUAAGCAGGGUUGGUUACAAGUUGUUAUUGAUCAUAGUCAGGAAAAUAGCUAAAUAAAGAAGUUAAAUUCAAA